ensembl:lncRNA
CGGGUGCAUUGCCUUGCCCUGCCUCAUAUGCCAGGAAAAAUUGGCCAAGGAGUGGCCAUGGUUACAGGAGCAGCUCUGGGCUCCCCUUCAUCUAUAUUGGCAGGAAGAAAACAAGCUCUCACUGUGCCUCUAGUGAAGCUGAGGAUGUUUGCGUGAGGGAGGCACUGACGGGGAGAGGAGAGCAGAGCAGCAGAUGGGCGGAAUGGAAUGGCGGGGCGAGAGCGGCUCAGCCUGCCGUGGUGGGACGUGCGGCAGCAUGGCUGACAGCUCCAGGCAGCGAGCACCAUGGCGUCCUCCUCUGCGUUUCCAGAUGUCUCCAGAUCAGCACUGGAUGCCUUUCCAAUAGUCAAAUACAAGCAAUUCAUUUCACAGAAUAUCUGUGGUUUGAAAUUCAGAGGAAGAUAAAAAUGGCUUACCCUGGCCUUCAGAGCUCUAAGUAUCACAGAUAGGAAAUCCUGGAAUCCUGGAUGUAAGUGUAAUUGAGGUGUACGCAGGAAAAGACACUUUGCGUUGUGAAAAGUAACUAUUCUUUUCAAACCUUUUCUCUUUUUAUUCUGUUGGCUGCACCCAAGAAGUCAUACGCAUAUCAGAGAAUGUUACUGUUCAGAUCAGAUCUAUUGACAUAAUUAACUUAUUUGCAAACAGUUUCAUGUAUUUUUGUCUGAGUCUGCCUUCCUGCAUACACCAAAACUACCCUGAUUCAGCUCCUAGUGAAUUAGGGUGGUGUACAGCAAAUAAAGGAACAAUCAUUGAGUCCAAACAUAUUUGCAUUCUUAAUAUGGUGCGCACAUUCAGGCAAGAGGCAAUUUGCAUGAAGACCAUGAGCCAAAUGCAGUUCUGACAGUAGCAGGCAUAACUUUAUUCAAAUCAGACAAGCAGCAGGCAUUUACAAGGGGCCAGAAUAGGUGCUGUGUGCUUGCUGCACGUCCAUGCUCAGCAUAAUGCACUGCUCUUGAUCAAAACCUCACAUUUUCCAUAGAUGGACCAAUGCUUAUCAGAACUGAAUACAAAUUUCAGCUGUAGGAUGGGGUGUACACUUGCAGUACCUGACAAAAUGUAUAGUUUGCUUUUAAGCCUCGCUUUCAGUGUGAAGAGUAAUUCAUACUUUUAAAAAACACCCUCUUUUCAAGCUUUCAUUGCAUGGAUUAGCUAAGAAGCAGCAUGCCAGGAUGCCUCUGGCCACCUUCAAAACCUCCUUGUAAACUCAGGCACAAGCAGAAUCAGCUUCACUUCGUCCCAAGUAUUAGUGCUUUGUUUUAAAGUUGCAGUUUUCUGAGUGUUGCUCCUAAUACUUUAAUGGUGGUUGUAUACCCCAGUGCUGGUGCUGUGUCUUGCUGCGUUUCAGCAAAUGUUGUGAGGAAUCUACAGCAAUUAGCUGUUCAUGCCUCUGCUUUCCUGUUUUGUGCCUUCUCUUUCAUGUAUCAGAUGUUUGUAAGUUUUCCAUUAGACAUUUCCUGCUUCUAAUAGAUGUUUGUGAGGCUCUUGCUUUGAGCUAUCAAGGCUCCAAUUUGUGCUGAGAUGUUUGGUUUUGGUUUAGGGCUGAGAGGUCUUUGUACUCCUUUCUUCCUAGAAAACAUUAUAAUCUGGAAAAAAUAAAUAAAUUGUACUUUGCAAAAAG